rnacentral:lncRNA from 1 species
CACUAAAUGAACCCCAGAAAAACUUUCCUCUAGCAGUAGUUGAGUUUUGUGACGACACUAACAUUCUAUUAAAACUCAUUACGUGUGCAUGACGUGUGGCCAUUUAGAACGCUGUAGAACUCGCGAAUUUAGACAGACUUCUGAACAUUGCAGUGAAAAUCACAUUACGAUCAUUACUCUAACGUUUUUUACUGUAUCGUUACAUCUGGAGUUUGAUAACAAACCUACAAUGGCUUGCGCUCAAUCCCAACAACAAAGAGAACUGGCAUUUGCAGCCCAGUUAGCUGCGAAACUUGCAGUACCACACCUGGAGGAGGACGACGGUCUUCAAUCAGUCGUCGCCAACUUCAUGUGGAAUCUGACAGAGCAGAAUCUGGAGGUGGUACAGGCGUCGUUGAGCUACCCGUUCUACAGACACCAAAUCGAUCAAAUGCUGACGUCUAUUGUGAAGUCAGCCACCACCACCGUAUCUGAUUUACUGCCCAAACUGUCAGAGAUAACAGGUGUGAGUCCGUCAGCAGUGGUGAACCCGACAUCCUCAUCCACUGAAGACCUUUAUCAGGACACAUUGAGCAUACCAGAGAUCCUGAAGGUGGAAAAACUGCCCUUCAUGCAUCCCCUUGAAAGCUUUUACGGGAUCACAGUGGAAAGUCUCAUGGCAGACUGCAGCUUCCUGGACUCUUUAGGAGAAGUCAGUUUGCAGUCGUCUGAGCUCCCUGGAAUUGUUGUGGAGCAUGUUCUCCAUCGGGUCAACAUGGUGAUGCAUAACAAUGUCCUGAAGGUCAACUUGGCAUCAUUGUCAUCGUCAUUCCUUUAUUUCAGCCCUGAUGAGUCCUGCAGUGCUAUUGGAGAGUUGUUGAUCAAUGGAGUCAUCCAAAAGCUCCGUUAUUUACAUCACUGCAUCACUCCAGCAGCGGCCGCAACAGCAAUCGGCACCGUUCUCGCUUCAAUUCAGGGCCAACUUCCAACUGCCCAUAGACAGAGUCUAUCGGUGGAGGUCACAAGCAAUGUGAUCGAAUACAUAACAGAGGAUGUCAUUCGCUAUUGGUUAAAUGAUCCCAUUGAGGGGUCCAAAAUUUGGAAAAGUGAAGACGUCCCUGUUCUGAGGCCAACAUUUCAAUCCACUGAUUGUGGAUUGUUGUUCCUGCUGACGUCAGAUCAACUGUCAUGCAGGCCUAAAACAAAAGCAACCACUUUAUUUGACUCCCUGAUGACCAAUCGUUGCAAGUUGCAGUGUAGCAAUCACUUCACUGGCAACAGUAACGAUUCCGCAGUUUCAGAUCGUCUGCAUCAGGGACUUGCAGAUUUAAUGAACUGCCUCAUCAGGCGCGAGACGCUCCUUCAAGUCAGACUGACCACGAAAGAGUUUCUUCGAUAUUUCGUGGAGGAGCUUGUGCACAGGCUUUUUGUGUCCUCUACCUUUCCGUGUCCUUCAAAUCUGCCUGAAAAUACAACACCGAUGUCCUUCAUCAUCAAAGAAGCAGACUCCGGUCUGACGGUGGUGGAUCAUAUGACAGCGCUGGUGGUCAGUCAAGUAUUUGAGCUGCUGGCAAAGAAAUAUCCAGUGAGCGAAUCUGACGAAUCUGAACCGAAAACCAAAGAGGUCUCAGUUCAGGCGGAACCACCGAAACUGACCUUCAAGGAGAAGUUGAGGAACAUGAAGGAGAGAAUCCUUAAAAAGGUAAGCUUAAAGGGGAGUUAUUAUGGGUAAAUCACUCUUAUAAGGGGUUUAAACACAGCUGUGUGGCAACGCACGUCAUGACUUUGUCAAGUUCGAUGCGAUCCUGGAUUAACAUGUUGAUUCUGAAACAUAAUUUUUGUUGGAAAAUGUAAUCCAUAUCUAUUCCCUACUCCUAAACCCAACUAUAACUGUAAAUUAUUCCCAAAAUCAGAAGGGAAUAAUAGCUGGAUAACAAUCAUGUAGAAGUGCAUA